UACGUAGGGUGCGAGCGUUAAUCGGAAUUACUGGGCGUAAAGCGUGCGUAGGCGGUUCGUUAAGUUCGUUGUGAAAGCCCCGGGCUCAACCUGGGAAUGGCAAUGGAAACUGGCGGGCUGGAGUAUGGCAGAAGGGGGUGGAAUUCCGCGUGUAGCAGUGAAAUGCGUAGAGAUGCGGAGGAACACCGAUGGCGAAGGCAGCCCCCUGGGCCAAUACUGACGCUCAGGCACGAAAGCGUGGGGAGCAAACAGG
rnacentral:rRNA from 1 species